UUCCCCAAUCUUAGAAACAGGACAUUUGCACAACAACUGAACCUAGUCUACUCAAUGAACAAUGGUCUGUGAGUAAUGGCAUAUAUGAUGCUUACUUUGUGGUCCAGACCAUCCAAAAAGCUUCACUAGUGUUUAGGUUUCUUUAGUUCCCUGUCAUCCCUCACUGCCUGUUUGCCACUACACCACCCUGUAAAUAAACAUCACUCGAAUCAUCAGUCAUCACCUGCAUUUUGGGUCCUCCUUUCCUCCAACACCACACAGCUCGCCUCGGCAGCCGUGACAAAACAUGUGUCACAUUCCUGCGCUCACCACAGAUCCCAGGAGAUCUGAGAUUGGCUGUGUUAUGUUUCUCUCUGCGUGCCGAUGGCCACUUGGCGUGAUGGUCGAAAACAUGAAAAGAUUUAUAUUUUAUAAGAAGUAAGUGGUGUGUAGAUUUUUGGCCAUUUUUAACAUCCUAUAAAUUACAAAAUGU